rnacentral:lncRNA from 1 species
CUGCUGGCUGAACACAGAGGCUCUAUGGGAUGGUGGAUUCCUAAGAUGGGAAGAGCCUAGGUACCCACCUGCAAGCUAACCAGCAUUAAACUGCAAGGAAAGUGAGAGGCUCUUCCCAGCAAGAUAUGGAGUCUAUUUCUCCACCUUGAAUCUGAGCAGGCCUUAUGACCUGAUUUGGCCAGAAGAAUGCGGUGGAAGUGACAUUGUACAUGUCUGAGCCUGGGCCUCAAGAAGCCUUGCAACUUCUGCUUCUGCUGAUCUUGGCACCUGCCCUGCUUACUGCUGCUCAUGAAGAAGCCUGGCCCAGCCUGUUGGAUGAUGAGGAGCCGGGGGUGCAGCUACAUUCAAGAUCAAUGAGUUAUAGCCACAUGCAAGGCCAUGAAAAGUAAUACCCUUCAGGAGAGUGGAGUUUCCGGUAUUCUUGCUGAGCCAAAAAGACUAGGAGAGAAAGAGCCAUGCUACCCACCAAAGUAUUCAGAAGUACAGGGUGGGCUUCAGAGAAAACUAGAAGAUUCUGCUUUGAACACAGAUAAGUAACUUCCACUUCAGUUUACCUCUAUAUACAGUGGAGUUCUGCAGGAUGGAGAGAGUGUGGAUAGCAGAUUACAGUUGCUUAUAGCUUCCUGCAGCCUUAUCUCUUCCUAAACCUUACCAUCUCCUCCAUCACCUCCUAUGCCCCUCAGACUCAGAGAAGGCAAGAAUCAACCAAAGGCAAAUAGGUAUUUUUAAAAACUUACCGAAAACUUGAUACAUCUUAACCUAUUUAUCCUGACAAAGUCAGUUCAAAAGUCCUCUCCUCCAUCAGCCUCACUUGGCUUCCCAUGCCACUCCACAAGAAAGAGUUGGUUCCUCCUUCCUGUGGAUGGGCCUAAAGGCACUGUGUUUAGCCUUUCUGAUGUUCAUGGGUCAGUAUUCUCCUGAUGCUAUGGUUUGAAUGUUUGUCCCCUCAGAAACUCAUGUUGAAACAUAAUCUCCAAUUUAACAGUAUUAAGAGAUGGGGUCUUUAAGAAGUGAUUGGGUUAUGAGGGCUCUUUCCAUAACCCAAUGGAUAAACAGAUUAAUGAAUUAACAGAUUAAUGGGUUAAUGGAUUAAAUGGAUUAAUAGAUUAAUGGGUUAAUGGAUUAAAUGGGUUAUCACAUGAAUGGGGUGGUUAUCACAAGAGUAGAUAUGUUAUAAGAGCCAGUUUGGCUCUCGGUGCAACCCCCCUAUUACCCUGGGAUGCCUUCCACAAUGUUAUGACACAGCAUGAAGCCCUCACCAGAAGCCAACCAGAUGCAACCACUUGAUCUUGGACUUCUCAGCCUCUAGAACUCCUCCAGGACACCUUUCUAAGCUAGACGCAACAGGAGCCUGAAAUUUGAGUCACAUUCCCACUUUUCCUGAAGACCAUCCUAUCCCUGGAUGAAGGUAAGAUACUGAAGAAUUCCAAGAAGACUGGAGGGGGCAGUGCUGGAGGAGAAGAAAGCAACAUAGGGCCUGGUGCAAGCCCAUGCAGGAUGGGGCCCCUUCCCAGAAGUCCUGAGCUAGAGCCCCGGAAUCCUGCCCUGGAAUCUCUACUGGAGCUACCCUCUGGCCCUUCUUUAAGACGUUCAAAUGUCGGAGCAGAAGAGGAGAAGGAAGAAAGGGUUGUCCUCUUUGUCUUGGGUAGUUUGAUGCCUCAGAAGGAGAGCAAAGGCGAAAACGUUGGCCAGCCAGUAUGAACAAUGCAAGGUCCUCAAAGCUUAGGAGCCACUGACCCUAAAUGUCAAAGUCAGCCUUGAGUGAGGGUCAAGUGCAGAUUCCCCUCCUCACAGCUGUUCCUGUGAAAGGGCUCACUUUCAUUGGGAAACAUAGUUAUCUUCUCUCCCAGAAUAGGAAGUGGCUACAGCACAAGCCCCUCUUCGUUAGACCCAGCCUCCCCCUCCCCUUUGUCUUGCCAAGAAAUGCUGCAAACCCCAAAUACCUGCAUUCUUGGGCAUGCAGCAGGCCAGAGCCAUGCUUGGAUUCCCGCUCUGCUCCUUAAGGAAGGGCCUUUUCUUUUAUGCAAAGACG